UGGCCAGACUCCUACGGGAGGCAGCAGUGAGGAAUAUUGGUCAAUGGGCGGGAGCCUGAACCAGCCAAGUCGCGUGAAGGAAGAAGGUACUUAGUAUUGUAAACUUCUUUUGUCGGGGAACAAAGGCGGAGACGCGUCUCCGGAUGAGUGUACCCGAAGAAAAAGCAUCGGCUAACUCCGUGCCAGCAGCCGCGGUAAUACGGAGGAUGCGAGCGUUAUCCGGAUUUAUUGGGUUUAAAGGGUGCGUAGGCGGAACAUUAAGUCAGCGGUAAAAUCGAGGGGCUCAACCCCUUUAAGCCGUUGAAACUGGUGAUCUUGAGUGGGCGAGAAGUAUGCGGAAUGCGUGGUGUAGCGGUGAAAUGCAUAGAUAUCACGCAGAACUCCGAUUGCGAAGGCAGCAUACCGGCGCCCAACUGACACUGAAGCACGAAAGCGUGGGUAUCGAACAGGAUUAGAUACCCGCGUAUG
rnacentral:rRNA from 1 species